rnacentral:rRNA from 1 species
CCUACGGGGGGCUGCAGUGGGGAAUAUUGGACAAUGGGGGGAACCCUGAUCCAGCCAUGCCGCGUGUGUGAAGAAGGCCCUCGGGUUGUAAAGCACUUUCAGUGAGGAAGAACGCCUGGUGGUUAAUACCCAUCAGGAAAGACAUCACUCACAGAAGAAGCACCGGCUAACUCCGUGCCAGCAGCCGCGGUAAUACGGAGGGUGCGAGCGUUAAUCGGAAUUACUGGGCGUAAAGCGCGCGUAGGUGGCUUGAUAAGCCGGUUGUGAAAGCCCCCGGCUCAACCUGGGAACGGCAUCCGGAACUGUCAAGCUAGAGUGCAGGAGAGGAAGGUAGAAUUCCCGGUGUAGCGGUGAAAUGCGUAGAGAUCGGGAGGAAUACCAGUGGCGAAGGCGGCCUUCUGGACUGACACUGACACUGAGGUGCGAAAGCGUGGGUAGCAAACAGGAUUAGAUACCCUUGUAGUC